rnacentral:rRNA from 1 species
AGAUUGAACGCUGGCGGCAUGCCUUACACAUGCAAGUCGAACGGUAACGCGGGGCAACCUGGCGACGAGUGGCGAACGGGUGAGUAAUGCAUCGGAACGUGCCCAGUAGUGGGGGAUAGCCCGGCGAAAGCCGGAUUAAUACCGCAUACGACCUAUGGGUGAAAGCGGGGGACCGUAAGGCCUCGCGCUAUUGGUGCGGCCGAUGUCAGAUUAGGUUGUUGGUGGGUAAAAGCCUACCAAGCCGACGAUCUGUAGCUGGUCUGAGAGGACGACCAGCCACACUGGGACUGAGACACGGCCCAGACUCCUACGGGAGGCAGCAGUGGGAAUUUGGACAAUGGGCGAAAGCCUGAUCCAGCAAUGCCGCGUGCGGAAGAAGGCCUUCGGGUGUAAACCGCUUUGUCAGGAAGAACGCUCUGAGCUAAUACCUCGGGUAAUGACGGUACUGAAGAAUAAGCACCGGCUAACGUACGUGACCAGCAGCCGC